CUCUGGCCUCUUUGAAUUUUAAUUUUCUAUUGGAUAAGGUGGCAACGGAGAUUGCAAGUUGGAAAUGGAAGGCUUUAUCUCUGGCUGGUAGAACAACCUCACUCCAACUUGUGCUUUCAUCUAUUCCUAUCUGUUGUAUAUCCUGUGUCAGUGUGCCUUUAUCUAUCAAUACAAGACUUGACAAGGAGCUUUCGGGCUUUGUUUUAUGGGGACAUACUUCUGAUAGGAGGGGUCUUCAUCUAGUUUCUUGAGCAAAUGUUUGUAUACCAAAAGACCAUGGUGGUCUGAGUUUGUGUUUAUUGGCGCAAAUGAGGUACCCAUCAUACUGUCGACCAAAUAUAUGGCCUUCCAUUUCUUUGCCUGAGCUUGAACAAGGUACAUGGGCAUCUCUCGUCUGAAUCCAUAUAUGUGAAUAAUACUGGAGAAGGUUCUUCAGUCUGUUGGGUAAAUUGUAUAUUAUCAUCUUCAUGAGAUUCCUAAGAGGAAGUUAUAUCCAUCACUGUGAGAACUUUGAGAAUAUGGUCCCUUCCUUCUUUUUUGCAAACCUACUUGCUUUGGAGCAAAGUUGCAGGAGACACGAGAUGGAUGUCACUGAAUAUACCAAGUUUCUGGAUGCCAUCAUCAACACCUCAAGAGAUGUGGAGUUGCUUCACCGGGAAGGGAUCAUUCAACCGCAUAUUGGAGAUGACCAGGACAUUGCAUAGUGGAAGUACAUUGCAAAUGUAAAUUGACAGUAUGAAUGUAAUUUGACAAUAUGAAUGUAAUUUGACAAUAUGAAUGUUUUGAUAAAUAUGUUUGAUUGUGCUAUGAGUAUAAUCUCGUUUA